rnacentral:rRNA from 1 species
AUUGAACGCUGGCGGCAGGCCUAACACAUGCAAGUCGAGCGGAUGAAGGGAGCUUGCUCCUGGAUUCAGCGGCGGACGGGUGAGUAAUGCCUAGGAAUCUGCCUGGUAGUGGGGGAUAACGUCCGGAAACGGGCGCUAAUACCGCAUACGUCCUGAGGGAGAAAGUGGGGGAUCUUCGGACCUCACGCUAUCAGAUGAGCCUAGGUCGGAUUAGCUAGUUGGUGGGGUAAAGGCCUACCAAGGCGACGAUCCGUAACUGGUCUGAGAGGAUGAUCAGUCACACUGGAACUGAGACACGGUCCAGACUCCUACGGGAGGCAGCAGUGGGGAAUAUUGGACCAUGGGCGAAAGCCUGAUCCAGCCAUGCCGCGUGUGUGAAGAAGGUCUUCUGAUUGUAAAGCACUUUAAGUUGGGAGGAAGGGCAGUAAGUUAAUACCUUGCUGUUUUGACGUUACCAACAGAAUAAGCACCGGCUAACUUCGUG